AGACCGAUAGCGAACAAGUACCGUGAGGGAAAGAUGAAAAGCACUUUGGAAAGAGAGUUAAACAGCACGUGAAAUUGUUGAAAGGGAAACGAUUGAAGUCAGUCGUGUGGAGGGUAUUCAGCCGUCUCUGGCGGUGUACUUGCCCUUCACGGGUCAACAUCAGUUUGAUCCGGUGGAAAAAGGCUGGGGGAAGGUGGCACCCUCGGGUGUGUUAUAGCCCCCUGUCACAUACACCGGACCAGACUGAGGAACGCAGCUCGCAGCAAUGCCGGGGUUCGCCCACGUACGAGCUUAGGAUGUUGACAUAAUGGCUUUAAACGACCCGUCUUGAAACACGGACCAAG
rnacentral:rRNA from 2 species